CUUGCUGAGUCCCGUACUCGAGCAUUAGGGGAACGCAGCCUGUCCUGUCUGCAGCAAAGCUAGGUUUCCGGUUUGUCCUCUGUCCUCUGACUUCUCUUGUAUUUUUGUCUGCGUAGGUGCCUAAACCUGUUUCCCAGUCAAACAGCAUUUCUUGUCCUUCAUGGAUUUUUCCAUUGAUUUUGAACUUAGCGAGCUCCUCUCACCCCCGCGUUGAAAUUCGUUACCUAUUAACCAUGUUUUCCAUCUAAUGGUUUUCCCGGUUUGGCUAAUACAAAGCUAGGCGUCUCUCGGUGCCUGCAGCAGAGGUCAGAUGCAAGCUGCUUUCUUCCCCUUGACUGCUUAGCCAACGUCCUCACACGAUUUGUGGAACAAUCCAUUCCUCGCUCAUUGGCUUACUCUGCUCCUUUUUACAAAAAGAGCUUUCCUGAGGCCUAAUUUACAUACCGUAAACUUCACCCACGUGAAGCACAUGAUGCAGUCGAUUGUGGUAAUCUGUAGGGUUCUGCAGCCACUCCCCCCAGGCCAGCUUUGGAGCGUCUCCAUCACUCCCGAAACACCCCCCGUGCCUGUCUGCGGUCAGCCCUCGCUGCCGCCGCUCCCCUGGGCACCCACGGGUCUGCUUUCUGUCCCCGUGGAUCCGUCUUUGCCGGGCAUUUCACGUCAGCGCCAUCUCCCACCUGUCGUCUUUGGCACCUGGCUUCUUUCACGGAGCAGGAUGGUUUUGAGGUUCACCUGUGUCGUGGCCUGUGUCAGCAGUCUGCUCAUCUCACCUGUGGAUGAAUCCUCCAUCGCAGGAGCACACCAGGCUCUACCUGUCCAUUCAUCCGUUGAUGGACAUUUGGGUGUUUCCACCUUUUGGCUGUUGUGAAUGAGGCUGCUCCGACCGUUGUCGUACAAAUCUUUGUGUGGGUGAACGUUUUUCUGCCUCUGGGGUGGACUCCUGGGAGUGAGAUGACUGGGUCAUAUGAUAAAGUGAAAACCACCGGGCUGUUUUCCAGAAUGUCGGCUCCAUGUUGCCUGCCUGUCAGACUCGGCCUCCUCACCACCACUUGUUACCGCACGCCUUUUAAAACAUUUGCCUCUGUUCCGUUUUUAUAUUUUCAGUUGGUAUGUUUGCCAGCCUUUUUCAGGCUGUGCUUUAAGAGUAGCUAUGUUUUUAAUUCCUUCCAAAGUGAGGCGAACGCAGGCUGCUGCCUCCCUGCUUAAUACAUCUUUAUCUCAGGUUAUGGAAACUCCAAUGAAGGUUUAUUUCCCUGCAAAUAGUUUUUAAAAAUUAAAUAUUUACUUUUCCAAACUCCCAAACAAAUCUCGCAUUCAGAGCCAAGUAAAUGUUGGCUGUGAUUUUCGAGCUUCCUUCUUUGGGCUUUGGAGAUGAUAAAAGCACCAGGAAAGUCUCCGAGUCCUUGAGACUCCCUUCAUCUUAAGGUCCUUUGGGACACUGGGGCCUGAGCAAGGCUUUUCUCCUCGUUAAUCAUUCGGGGGGGUGUGUUCUUCAUCAAGGACUUUGCUCUGUGACCUUUACCGCGGCUUUGGCUCUGUCUUCAGGAGCCUCUGGCCGUUCAAACGGGACCCGGGAGGCCGGUGUCCACGUGGAGAUCCGGGGCGCCCUGUCUGCCCGCUGACCCGGUGCCCCCAGCUCACCGCCGGCUCUCGGCAUCUGCUGGGCAGGCCUCGCGCACGCUCGGGCACUGCGUCCUUGGGAACACCGGCCUCUCCAGGGCGGAAUGGGGCUUUUUGCUCUGCGCUGCUCCUCCCGCGCUCCGCGCCACCUGACUGGAAGAAUUAGGCUGAUCUUUAUUUCUGCAAAGCUCCUGUGGAGGCCAGGCAGACGGACCGCCGUCUCCGAACGCUCGCCUUCAGCGUUGCCUGCUUUGCUUUCUGAAUGUGCUCCUCUGCCGAACGAAAGUUCUGAACUGCAGUGCAGCCGAGGCCGCUCAGUGUUUCCCUCGACGGCUGUUGCUUUUCACGCCCGGUUUGUGAAGCCCUUGCCGAGCGGAAGUCCUGAAGGCGGUCGGCAUCACUGCUUAAACCCCUACCGUCUGGCCUUUUACGCAGGGCUUCUCCGCGCCCCGGACUGGGGCGGACACAGCCCACGGCUCACGUUUGGUCCCAGGUCUCACCGUGGCUCCCUGGGAGCGUCCCCUGCGCUGCAGCACCAUCCUCCUCAGAAACCGAGGGUCGUGUUUGUACGACGUCACCCUGAGCUUUCUAGUCUCUUCCAUCGGCCCGUUUUCUUUCAGUCCUUGAGCUGAUGUCGCACUGGCUUCCUUCUGAGCCUUUGUAAUAAAUCUCGGUAGAAUGAGGUCCCGCAGAGGAAGUCCUUCCACCUUCAAGUGUCAUGGCUCCUCUGUUUCCAUGAAUUUUAGAUUCAGCUUGUCAAGUUUCACACACACACACGUUGGCUAUUUGAGAGAGUUUGAGAUUUGCAGAUGAUAACCACUAUAUAUAAAAAAAGAGAAAAACCAAAUUUCUUCUGUACAGCACAGGGAACUAUAUUCAAUAUCUUGUAAUAACUUUUAAUGAAAAGAAACAAAUUUAUGUAUGUAUGUGCAUGACUGGUGCUGUACACCAGAGAUGGACACUUUGUAACUGACUGUACCUCAAUAAAAAAGGAAAAGUGAAAAAA